UACGUAGGUGGCAAGCGUUGUCCGGAAUUAGUGGGCGUAAAGCGCGCGCAGGCGGUCCUUUAAGUCUGAUGUGAAAGCCCACGGCUCAACCGUGGAGGGUCAUUGGAAACUGGGGGACUUGAGUACAGAAGAGAAGAGUGGAAUUCCACGUGUAGCGGUGAAAUGCGUAGAGAUGUGGAGGAACACCAGUGGCGAAGGCGACUCUUUGGUCUGUAACUGACGCUGAGGCGCGAAAGCGUGGGGAGCAAACAGG
rnacentral:rRNA from 1 species